AGUUUCUUAGUUUCUCUCCCUUUCACAUUAAAUAUGAAAAAGUCCCACUGGUCAGCAGCAAGAGUUUUAACACUUCUUUAUCUACUAAAGGAUGUGGUCAAAGCAAGGAAGAUGGCCACUGAGAUGAUGCUACUGGAGAGGGUGUCCCACCCGCCAUAAUACCUCAUGAAUGCUGCAGCUUUAUCAUCUUGCACAACAGAAAGGUGACCCUUGGACUGGACUCUGCCUGCACACUUUUAAGCAUAUACACGUGACCAGAGGAGCUACAGGUUCUGUGAUUAUUGGUUUCAGGGCAAAUCCUGGAAGCAGAAGCAGCUUUUGAGCACAGCAAGGCAACAGUCAAAUUGCUUUGAGAAGAGUUUCAAUCCUGAGCUGACCUCUCCCCCACUUCUUCCAUUUCUCCACUCUUUCAGUCCAGAGACAGGAUGAUCUGCUUUAUACUACAGAAGAUGAAAGGCCACUUCCUAAACCUGUGUAAGGAUCAGCUAUAAAAUGAGGACAGUACCAAACUUAAAAUGGCUGAGAUUACGCUUCCCUGGUGGUGCAGUGGUU